rnacentral:tRNA from 1 species
ACCUGGGUGGCUCAGUUGGUUGAGCAUUUGACUUCAGCUCAGGUCAUGAUCUCAUGGUCUGUGAGUUCGAGCCCCACAUCGGGCU